AGUCAUACCCAUCUCAUUACCAUCAAUGUCCUUAUCACCCGUUGGGGACUGGUCAGUUUCAUUGGAAUUAGCCUGCUGCAAAUCAGUUGCAUUCUCAGAAGUUUUAAUGCUAGGACAAUUGUCUUUAGAAUGGCCAAAACAUCCACACUCAAAACAGAUUAGAGAAAUCCCUUCAUAGACAACCUGGUAAGCAAUAGAUUCAACUUCAACAUACGGGCGUAGCGGCUUGUUCAAAUCAAUCUCAAUACACACUCGAGCAAACUUGCCUCUGGCUUGACCAAUUGUGAGCUUAUCCACCUUAACAACAUCUCCUAGGACUUUUCCAAUUUUAGCAACAGCAUAGUCCUUAAAGUACUUCACAGGUAGGCCAAGAAUUCUUACCCAUAGAGCCAUCUUACCAAUAUGUUCAUUCAUGGGGUCAAAAUCAGGUCUCCACUUCUGAACAACGAGCGUUUGUCCAGCCAAAAUCCAUGGGCCACCACAGAGAGCAUUGUUCAUAUCUUCUUCCAGAUUAAAUUUCACAAUGAAAAAGUCAUUGGGGAGGUCAAUGAGUUGCCAACCCCCUUUGACCUGCCAUUUCUUCCUCAAUCCUCUUAACAUAAACUCAAAGGUGUUAGUGGAAUUAGGUUUUCCCAUGAGCUUGACCACAAUAGCACACCUCCACUCAAAAUCCAGCUUAUUAUGAACUUUAUCAGAAAACGAAACAUUCUGGCCAUGCUUACCUUGAGAGUAGGUGCAGUCAGCAUCAGUGAAGUCAAAUUCCUCAGUCAUAGUCUGUCUAUAUCGGUCAACAGGGUUUUUGAGAGUGCUAGCAUAGGUGAGUUGGGGUUUCGGCAAGGUAGGGGUCUGGGCAGAAGAAUCCAAAUCCUCCAUUCGAAGAGCCUCCAGAUCUGAACUGAUAUCUCCUCCAUUCUUAAGGCGUUUACGUUGAAUCGGCAUCGGCACACUGUCCCCGCCACUUCCCGGUGGAAGGGCGGAGAAGACAAACGUUGGGGUCGCCACCAGAAACGGUUAGAUGGCGAAGGGAGUCGGAAACAAUGGUGGUUGAGCAAGACCCAAUCGGAAAAACAGGUUAGGUAACGGCUUGGAAAGGGAGGGCGCGUGAGGCGCGUUCUAUUUGUUCACACAGAGCCGACAUUCCAUUUCUUUAAAAAUGGGAAAAAGGUAGAAGAGCUAGCCUGUGAGAGAUUUGAAUUUUAUCAGUAUGCCAGAGGCUUGGAAAAGAUUCUUGCGAAACUGUACAACACUCAACCUGCAAUAAGUUCAUCUGGAACUGGGAGAAAAACUACUCAAGAAUUACAACCUGUGAAAGAUAAGGAUAGCAAAGGAGUUAGAGGGCAGCGAGGGAGGAAAGUGAGGGGUGCCGCAAUGAUUCCAAACACACACAGUGGGGGCAAUCAUCAGUUUGUAAAUUAAUGAACCGGGUUCUUCUGUAUCAUGCUGUCUCUGUGCUGAAUUCUGAUGCACUGGAAAUUAGUUGCUUCUUGCAGAUGAGAGAGGUGACGCGGGAGGCAUGUUCAAACAAGUACGAAGCACCAUAUCAUUAACACUCCCUGUGAUUAAUUUAGCUUCCAGAUGUAUUUUCAGGUUCAUGGUCUUGGUUAUUUAGUUGUUAUUGUCACAACUCUACUGGGUAUUUUGAAUGAUUCAUGUAUCAAUGGCCCUCUAUAGAAGGGCUAUUAUAUAAGCAUUGACAAAUGAGUUCUGAAUGUUGGUGGAAAUUCUUUGUUGACGUUGA